rnacentral:tRNA from 1 species
GCCGUGGUGGCGAAAUUGGUAGACGCAGCAGGUUUAGGUCCUGCCGCCGCGAGGCGUGGGGGUUCGAGUCCUCUCCACGGCACCA